rnacentral:lncRNA from 1 species
GUGAGAUCCGGGAGGGGCUGCCUGCCAGGCCAUGCUGAGGAGAAUAAAUCAGCAUGGCUGACUGUGAAAGAAGAGUAAAGCUGAAAGUAUCCACAGCUUUAUCUCUACAAACCUGCAUUCGAGUUGGAGGGAGCCCUGAGCCUGGAGAGACAGGGCAGCAGAGUCUCCAGAAAGUCUGUGGAACCACAAUGGAGAGCACACCCUCUGAGUGCAGAGAUGGAGUCAAUUACAAGUCGCCGCUGUAACAAGCAACCCGUUGGCUUAGAUUCCUUAAGCCAGUGUUUGCAUGUGUUCUGAAAGGUACCCUUUUCUUAUGUCUGCCUUCUAUUCACAAUUGCCUUCAAACCAUCCAGUCGAUAGCAGCUUCCCAGCCCUGUUGGUGUUCUGAGGGCUGCCCUGUUAUAGCUAGAA